AUUGAACGCUGGCGGCAGGCCUAACACAUGCAAGUCGGGCGAGUGGCGGACGGGUGAGUAAUGUCUGGGGAACUGCCUGAUGGAGGGGGAUAACUACUGGAAACGGUAGCUAAUACCGCAUACCAUCAGAUGAACCCCUAUGGGAUUAGCUUGUAGGUGGGGUAACGGCUCACCUAGGCGACGAUCCCUAGCUGGUCUGAGAGGAUGAUCAGCCACACUGGAACUGAGACACGGCCCAGACUCCUACGGGAGGCAGCAGUGGGGAAUAUUGCAAAAUGGGCGCAAGCCUGAUGCAGCCAUGCCGCGUGUAUGAAGAAGGCCUUCGGGUUGUAAAGUACUUUCAGCGGGGAGGCGUUACCUGCAGAAGAAGCACCGGCUAACUCCGUGCCAGCAGCCGCGGUAAUAC
rnacentral:rRNA from 1 species